CCUACGGGAGGCAGCAGUGAGGAAUAUUGGUCAAUGGGCGCAAGCCUGAACCAGCCAAGUCGCGUGAGGGAUGACGGUCCUAUGGAUUGUAAACCUCUUUUGUCGGGGAGCAAGGCCCGCCACGUGUGGCGGGAAGGAGAGUACCCGAAGAAAAAGCAUCGGCUAACUCCGUGCCAGCAGCCGCGGUAAUACGGAGGAUGCGAGCGGUAUCCGGAUUUAUUGGGUGUAAGGGGUGCGUAGGCGGAAGGAUAAGUCAGCGGUAAAAUGUCGGUGCUCAACACCGGCCUGCCGUUGAAACUGGUCUUCUUGAGUGAGCGAGAAGUAUGCGGAAUGCGUGGUGUAGCGGUGAAAUGCAUAGAUAUCACGCAGAACUCCGAUUGCGAAGGCAGCAUACCGGCGCUCAACUGACGCUGAGGCACGAAAGCGUGGGGAUCGAACAGGAUUAGAUACCCGAGUAGUC
rnacentral:rRNA from 1 species